rnacentral:rRNA from 1 species
CCCGAGGCUUAACCUCGGAACUGCCUUUCAAUACUGCCAGUCUUGAGAUCGGAAGAGGUGAGUGGAAUUCCUAGUGUAGAGGUGAAAUUCAUAGAUAUUAGGAAGAACACCAGUGGCGAAGGCGGCUCACUGGUCCGAUACUGACGCUGAGGUGCGAAAGCGUGGGGAGCGAACAGGAUUAGAUACCCUGGUAGUCCACGCCGUAAACGAUGGAUGCUAGCCGUCGGACAGUAUACUGUUCGGUGGCGCAGUUAACGCAUUAAGCAUCCCGCCUGGGGAGUACGGUCGCAAGAUUAAAACUCAAAGGAAUUGACGGGGGCCCGCACAAGCGGUGGAGCAUGUGGUUUAAUUCGAAGCAACGCGAAGAACCUUACCAGCCCUUGACAUCCCGGUCGCGAUUAGUGGAGACACUUUUCUUCAGUUCGGCUGGACCGGUGACAGGUGCUGCACGGCUGUCGUCAGCUCGUGUCGUGAGAUGUUGGGUUAAGUCCCGCAACGAGCGCAACCCUCGCCAUUAGUUGCCAGCAUUUAGUUGGGCACUCUAAUGGGACUGCCGGUGAUAAGCCGGAGGAAGGUGGGGACGACGUCAAGUCAUCAUGGCCCUUACGGGCUGGGCUACACACGUGCUACAAUGGCAGUGACAAUGGGCAGCCAACUCGCGAGAGUGAGCUAAUCCCAAAAAACUGUCUCAGUUCGGAUUGUUCUCUGCAACUCGAGAGCAUGAAGUUGGAAUCGCUAGUAAUCGUAGAUCAGCAUGCUACGGUGAAUACGUUCCCGGGCCUUGUACACACCGCCCGUCACACCAUGGGAGUUGGUUUUACCCGAAGACUGUGUGCUAACUUUUGAGGCAGCAGGCCACGGUAAGGUCAGCGACUGGGGUGAAGUCGUAACAAGGUACCCGAAGGGCCGAAU